rnacentral:rRNA from 1 species
UGGGGAAUAUUGCACAAUGGGCGCAAGCCUGAUGCAGCAACGCCGCGUGCGGGAAGACGGCCCUAGGGUUGUAAACCGCUUUCAGGAGGGAAGAAAAUGACGGUACCUCCAGAAGAAGGUGCGGCCAACUACGUGCCAGCAGCCGCGGUGACACGUAGGCACCAAGCGUUAUCCGGAUUUAUUGGGCGUAAAGAGCUCGUAGGCGGUUCGGUAAGUCGGGUGUGAAAUCCAAGGCUCAACCUUGGACGCACCCGAUACUGCUGUGACUAGAGUGCGGUAGGGGAGCGGGGAAUUCCUGGUGUAGCGGUGAAAUGCGCAGAUAUCAGGAGGAACACCAGUGGCGAAGGCGCCGCUCUGGGCCGUAACUGACGCUGAGGAGCGAAAGCAUGGGUAGCAAACAGGAUUAGAUACCCUGGUAGUCCAUGCCGUAAACGUU